rnacentral:rRNA from 1 species
GUUUGAUCCUGGCUCAGAUUGAACGCUGGCGGCAUGCCUUACACAUGCAAGUCGAACGGUAACGCGGGGCAACCUGGCGACGAGUGGCGAACGGGUGAGUAAUACAUCGGAACGUGCCCAGUAGUGGGGGAUAGCCCGGCGAAAGCCGGAUUAAUACCGCAUACGACCUACGGGUGAAAGCAGGGGAUCGCAAGACCUUGCGCUAUUGGAGCGGCCGAUGUCAGAUUAGGUAGUUGGUGGGGUAAAAGCCUACCAAGCCGACGAUCUGUAGCUGGUCUGAGAGGACGACCAGCCACACUGGGACUGAGACACGGCCCAGACUCCUACGGGAGGCAGCAGUGGGGAAUUUUGGACAAUAGGCGCAAGCCUGAUCCAGCCAUGCCGCGUGCGGGAAGAAGGCCUUCGGGUUGUAAACCGCUUUUGUCAGGGAAGAAACGCUCUGGGCUAAUACCCCGGGGUAAUGACGGUACCUGAAGAAUAAGCACCGGCUAACUACGUGCCAGCAGCCGCGGUAAUACGUAGGGUGCAAGCGUUAAUCGGAAUUACUGGGCGUAAAGCGUGCGCAGGCGGUCUUGCAAGACAGAUGUGAAAUCCCCGGGCUUAACCUGGGAACUGCAUUUGUGACUGCAAGGCUGAGUACGCCNAGGG